CGGGGUGUAGCUCAGUUUGGUAGAGCACUCGCUUUGGGAGCGAGACGCCGCAGGUUCAAAUCCUGUCACCCCGA
rnacentral:tRNA from 1 species